CGCGUAGGCGGCUUGGUCAGUCGGAUGUGAAAGCCCCGGGCUUAACCUGGGAAUUGCAUUCGAUACUGCCAGGCUAGAAUGUAGUAGAGGGAAGUGGAAUUCCGGGUGUAGCGGUGAAAUGCGUAGAUAUCCGGAGGAACAUCAGUGGCGAAGGCGACUUCCUGGACUAACAUUGACGCUGAGGUGCGAGAGCGUGGGGAGCAAACA
rnacentral:rRNA from 1 species